GUUCGAGCGUCAUUACAACCCUCAAGCCCAAGCUUGGUAUUGGAUGUCACCACUUGGUGCGUCUCAAAAGCAGUGGCGGUGCCAUUCAGCUUCAAGUGUAGUAAAUCUCUCGCUUCUGGAGUGUGGGUGCUGUACCUGCCAAAAACCCUAAAUAAUCAAAGGUUGACCUCGGAUCAGGUAGGGAUACCCGCUGAACUUAA
rnacentral:misc_RNA from 1 species